rnacentral:lncRNA from 1 species
UUUUUUUUUCUUUCAAUUUGAGUGGUUUUUGUUUUUUAUAACCAAGUGUUAUUUAUCAAAAUCUAGUCAAAUAACAUAUACCAGAAAACUAAUUGUGAAAAUAUUGUUAGUCAAUUAAGUAAUUCUAUUUAUAGCUAACAUUUACAUGCACUGACACAUAUUUUUAUGUCUAAAAUAAAUGUUACUAGACCUAGGCACCUAGCUAUGUAGUUUUCUCAAAAAAUACAUUACUAGUGUUCCUUUAUAGUUGGUAUGAUAAAUCUCUAGACAUUAAACUAAUUAAAGGUCUAAAAACGUGUCUCUCAUACUAAGUGUCAUAUUAUCAUAUACAACAACUCAAAAAGUUAAAACACAAAUUGACAAAAUCAUGAGAAAAAUGCCAAAUGCAUAACUUUUCCUAGUUAUCUUCCUACACAUUGCUAUCGUCUUUAUUUCUUGAAUAGUUUCCUAGUGAUUUCAUUUGAAAAUAACAAUAAACUGAAUUUAAGAAAUAAAUUAUAUGUUAUUUAUUCCUGCAAGUGUUUUGUUCUGCGUUUACUAGUUCAUGGCGGCCAUAAACUCGAAGAUUUAGUCAAACAUCUUUGUUCUCUAAUCUUUCCAAAGACUUUCAAAAACAUAUAUGCAUAUGCUUAGUCAUUGCAUAUAAUAAUUACAAAUCAUUGAAUCCCAAAUUUAUUAAUCUUAUUGUUUAAAGACAAACAAAACCAAUAAGGUUUCGUCGUUACCCACUACCAUUGUUUCAGUUCAUUACAAAACACAACAAACACAUCAUCCAUUUCAUAAGAUCUUACGACAUCUCUCUGAAUUCUUCUUCAAUAUUUGUUACUCCGAUCAAAAGAUCUCGGAAUAAUGGGAGCGUACAGAGCCGACGACGACUAUGAUUACCUCUUUAAACUAGUCUUGAUCGGAGACUCCGGCGUCGGGAAAUCAAACCUUUUGUCUCGAUUCACAAGAAACGAAUUCAGCAUCGAGUCAAAGUCAACUAUCGGCGUAGAGUUCGCCACAAGAAGCGUUCAUGUCGACGAGAAAAUCAUUAAAGCUCAGCUUUGGGACACGGCCGGUCAAGAGAGGUAACAAAUCCUCGAGACUUCUCUGUUUUAUCUUCCGCUCUGUUUCUUUCUUUAUCUAUAUUUUAGUUAUACUCUGUUUCUACGGCUCUGUUUUUGAGCAAUUUCGUUUUGUUGUGAUACAGAUACAGAGCAAUCACGAGUGCAUACUACAGAGGAGCAGUGGGGGCACUUCUAGUAUACGACAUAACCCGACACAUAACGUUUGAAAACGUUGAAAGAUGGCUCAAGGAGCUUCGUGACCAUACCGAUGCAAACGUUGUGAUCAUGCUUGUUGGAAACAAAGCCGAUCUUCGCCACCUUCGCGCAGUCCCUACAGACGAAGCUAGAGCGUUUUCUGAGAGAGAGAACAUGUUCUUCAUGGAAACUUCUGCUUUGGAUGCUACAAACGUCGAGCAAGCUUUCACUCAUGUAUUGACUCAGAUCUAUCGUGUAAUGAGCCGUAAAGCACUUGAUGGUACUGGAGAUCCGAUGUCUUUACCUAAAGGACAGACCAUUGAUAUCGGAAACAAGGAUGAUGUUACCGCUGUUAAAUCCUCUGGCUGUUGCUCAGGUUGAGAUUAUUGUUCUUGUUUUUGUAAACUGUCUUUUUUGGAAGAAGGUUUUGGUUUUGAAUUUGGAUUUGUUGUAUCUGACUUUUUUGGGAAAUCAGACCGGUUUGGUUUUACAAUACAAACCGAAAUUUGUAUGAGACUGGACAAGACUUGGUCUGCUUAAUAAGUUCGUUUUAGUCGUGAAUAGGGCGAUAAACGUUUGAACCGAAUCAAUUAAAUUGAACCACGCAAACUAAUACUACUUAAGAGUUCAGUUAUAUUGUUCUUACAGAAUCAAAUUCGGUUAACCAAACCUAUAAAAAUUUAUUCGAAAUAUCAAAUAUGCAUGUCCACCCGUAAACAUGUUAAUUUGGGUGUAAAACGUAUUAAUGACGAAUUAGGGAGGUAGUUUAUGGUGUGUGUGUGUUAUAAUUGUCCUAAUAAGUAAUAACAAUGAAUGGACUAAGAGAAAUAUUAAGUUAUUUAUGAACAGAAAUCAAAGUGGAAGAAGAGCACAAAGGAAAUCUAAAACUUACCACAAACCCAAAAGCAAAGAAGAAGGUAGUAGAAGUAUACCUUUUUCCACACGGAAGCAAGUUAGGUCCACCGUCCAAAUUAAGUAUGACAAGAUCUUUCCUUCCAAGUCUCAGGAUGUUUAUUGUUUCGUGCACUUGACAAUCAUCAUAAUAUUCAUGCGAAUAUGAUCAUUUAUUUACUAAAAUCAUGAGCUAUGAUAGUUGUUUAUUACCGAAGAAAUGAGAGCAAUGCACCAAAGAGAAUCACCAAGCAACGAUUAAAAUCAUAUCAAUACGAAACCGUUACUAAAGACCUAACUUUUGAGCUUUUCCUCUCCCUUUUUUUUUCUUUACGUUCUUAGAAAAUUAUUUUGAAUUUUUUUUAUAACCGAAAUGUCUAACGUGCAGGUCUCAAUGCAUGAUAUUUCGUAAUUUAACAAUUAAAAUGAUGAUAUAAUUUUUUUUUUUUUGGGUUAAAAAUGAUGAUAUAAUUAUUAUAUCUAAAUAAAGAUUCUUGUAAAAGGAACCAUCAAGGUGAAAAGAAACGAAAACUCGUGGGUUGACUAAGCACUUUACGUUAAUUCAACAUAUGAUUACCCAAUUAAUAUAAAUUACUUAUUCUAUUUGUUAGACCUUACUUGACCUCCACGACGGAUUAGUCAUAUUUUUAUAAAUUUUACGAAGAUAAUGUUUAUCAACCACUUUAAAACCGAGUAUACAUGCAUGCUCGAUAUCAAUGUUAAUUAAUUUAAACGAUUACAGAAAUGAUGUUAUAAUAAUCCCACUAGAUUGUAAUUUACGAAUUUUGAAAUACAUUACACACCCAGAAACAAAAACAAAAAGAUUUAGUAAACGACAUGGAGGAGAAUUGUUCAUAUGAAAUUUAGAUGUUAAAAAAACGUAUGAUUAUAUUAAAACAAGAAUAAGUAUAAUCCCCUUUUAAUUAAACAAAAGUGUGGAAAGAACAUGCUUCACUUAAACAAAGACUUUGGUUUGGUCUCAAAGGUUACUUGCAAGGAAUAAGAAAAGUGUAAAGCUUCUUUUUUUUUUUUUUUCUCUCACGUUGCUCUCUCAUUAUAUAUCCUCUACUUUUAGAUUUCCUCAUCAUUCUUUCUUACAUCAAAUCAUUUCCUAAGAAUCAGAGACAAACAUAGAGACAAAGAAAAGCAACUUCAGAGACAGAUAUGGAGAUCAAAGUUGAUGAAGAUCAUCAAAAGAGUACAAAAGAAGAAGAGAUCAAAAAGCCACUUCUUGAACAAGACAAAGACUUUCCUGAUAUAGAAAGAACAACAUGGAUACAAAAGGCAAUAGGUCAAACGUUCCAAACCACUGCUCAUUUAGCUAAUCUCUUACCAACAGGGACCGUUCUCGCGUUUCAGCUCUUAUCGCCAAUUUUCUCAAACGGCGGUCAAUGCGAUUUAGUGAGCAAGAUCAUGACAUCGACUCUAGUAGCAAUAUGUGGAUUCUCUUGCUUCAUAUACAGCUUCACGGAUUCUUACAAAGACAAAAACGGCACUAUUUGCUACGGAUUCGCAACGUUCCACGGGUUUUGGAUCAUCGAUGGAUCCACGACUCUUCCUCAAGAACUAUCUAAGAGAUACAAGCUAAGGUUCAUAGAUUUUGUUCACGCCUUCAUGUCAUUUUUCGUGUUUGGCGCCGUGGUUUUAUUCGACCGGAACGCUGUGAACUGUUUCUUUCCAGCACCGUCAGCUGAAGCGUUGGAGGUUCUCACCGCGUUGCCUGUAGGCGUAGGAGUGUUUUGUAGUAUGUUGUUUGCAACAUUUCCUACAACACGCAACGGAAUUGGUUUCCCACUUUCUAGCAAAUGAUUUGAUUACUUGUAACUUUGAUCUAUCGAUGUAACUUGUGUGUGAUUCAAGAUUCUCUUUGAUGAUCUCUUGAAAGAGACUUCUCCUAUACUGUUUCUUGUAUUCAAGCUAAUAAUAUAAAGGGUACGGUAUUGUUGCUAUAAUAGUGAAUCAAAAAAGCAAUAAAAGAGAGGUAAUUAAGAUUACCUCAAGACAUCUGCCACUAGGUGGUGGUGUGAUGAGUUUGAACAACCGAUUGAAUUAUCUAGUUGCACAUUGCACAGUUUAAAUUUAAAGCAGAGGAUUAACUCUGCCGACGAAGUACCCAUUGGAACCCUAGUGUGUGAGACUUGUUAGGUGACACAACCACUAGGAAAGUAUUGAAUUAGUGUCCUAAUCUUUAAUUAAAUUGUACUAAUUUGACCAAGGGAAAUAAGUAGAGUAACCUAAGAAUCCGGUUUAGGCUAGUUUGCUAAAUCAGAAACGAUUCAAGGUUAUCGAUUGAUGCAUUAGCAUCUUACUCAUCAAGCCAUCAUUAAUUCGAGAUCAGUGUGUUGUUUUUUUUUAAUGUUGUUCGACGAGAGUAGAGUGUUCGUUCUUGUGGGUUUUGGUUUACUCUUGGUUUUGUGACACAGUCUCUUGAAUCUCUAUUGUCUUCUUCGACAUAUUUCAAAUCUCUGUUUCCUGGAAAACAGAUUCAGUUAUGGGUUUUUCUAAAGAUUCAUGAUUUCACAGUUGUAAAUUCUGUAAUCAUCACUAAUAAUUAACUAAAAAGAGAGGUAAUUUAGAUAUAACAGGUUCCUUUGUCCAAAAAAAAAAAAAAGAUAUAACAGGGUCCCGGUUUAUUACAUCGGUUCUUUAAUUAGUUUUACAAACCAGAAACAACAAUUCGGGUUCGAGGAUUGCAUCGUCGUCAACACCGUAUGAUUGUCUGAUCUGGGUUUUUUAUUUUCUAAAGAACUUUCAGAGUUCUUUGAUUGGAAUCUAGUGGAUAAAAAUGGAGAGAUGAAUAACGAUUUCAGAGUUCAAUCAUGUAGAGAAAGGCAAAAGAAAAACAAAAGAGAGGUAAUUUAGAUUACCUCAUUUAGGUCUAUCCAACCACAGCGGUGGAAGACGACAACAUCCGACGAGGAGUUUGAGUCAACCUCGGGAGAAAGGGCGCUCCAGAUUAAACUGGGAAGGUUUACAUUCCACUACGGGAAGAAGAUGCGCCCGGAGGCGGCUUAGUAGACCAUCCUCGAGGCUUAGUGCUCGGAGGACGGUAGAAGUUUCACGAGCAAUGAUGCUCGGACAGUAGAAGGUUCUCGAGGCAUAUGAUGCUCGGAUGAAGCCAACUUGGGUACCAAUAUUGCUCGAACCCUGGUGGGAGUCGUGCUCAGCUGAGCCUCAACCACCUUGACCAGGUUCGAAUUGGUGUCCU